UACGGAGGGGGCUAGCGUUGUUCGGAAUUACUGGGCGUAAAGCGCGCGUAGGCGGCUUUGUAAGUUAGAGGUGAAAGCCCGGAGCUCAACUCCGGAAUUGCCUUUAAGACUGCAUCGCUAGAAUCAUGGAGAGGUUAGUGGAAUUCCGAGUGUAGAGGUGAAAUUCGUAGAUAUUCGGAAGAACACCAGUGGCGAAGGCGACUAACUGGACAUGUAUUGACGCUGAGGUGCGAAAGCGUGGGGAGCAAACAGG
rnacentral:rRNA from 2 species